ensembl:lncRNA
GGGUGGGGGGGGAAAGCUCCCAAUGCCCAAUCAAUGGCAAGACGAAGUGAUUUCCUUGCCUCUCGGAUUCCUCUCGGCAGCGUGGAAAACGAGCCCCUGGAAAGCAACUUCAACUCAUCCAGGCUCCCGUGCAGAACACUCCGGUUCCAACAACAGCUCCAAGACUCCGGCGGUGUUUACUCCUGCGCUCGCGGGGCCGGCCCCCGGGACGCGCGGCGGCCCGGCUGGAGAAGGCUGGAGGCGGCGGCGGCGGCGCUGGGUGACGGCGGCGGCGCGUCCUCCCCGCGGGCAGUGCCGGCCCCGAGCGGCGCUUCCCAGGCCCCCGCGCGAUCGCUGCCGACCGCCGCGUUCGGUCGCCGAAUGUUACCCGGUUCUGAAUGUUACACUUACACAUUCCAUUCCCGACACUACAGCGCUGACCUCAUCCAUCCACGCAGCCCGCGCUGCCAUUGGCCGAGCGUCACGUCCGGGGUGGGCGGUGCUUCCGCUGCGCCCAUUCAUAACCCCCGGCCACCGGCAGAGGCGCCGGCGCGGCGCUGGGGGUGCGGGCGGCGAAGGGACCCCAGGGCGCCUCGGCCGGGCCCCAGCGGGCGGAGCGCGGGGCUGCCCCGAGAGAGUCCGCGGCCCUUCGGUGCCCCGGGAUCCAGACCCCGGCCUGGGCCGCACCACCUGCAGCCGCCGCGCCGGGAAACCAGCGCCUCCCAGAGGCGCCUGCGGGCGCGCGGAGGCUGGAGAACCGGGGACUGGCGGGCGCUUCCCCGGCCCGCUGCUCCGGCUGCCCCGGUCGUCCUCGAGAAUUCCUACUCCUCCGCUGCCUGCCGGGAGCGCCUCCCCGAGCGGGCGGCGGCGUGUGUUCGGGUUCCUGGAGAAGGAUGCUCGAAAAGUGGAGCAGUGGGGCGAGCCCUUGGGCUGCAGGAGGAAAAAAAAAAAAAAAGGACUUCAUAGAAAGCGACCGCUGACCAGAAGGAUGUCUCUCUCUGCCCACCUUCCACCCUCUGAGGGCCCCAAAUUUUCCUUCCUACAAAGCAUUUAAACAGGUCCCUUAUCCCCUAAAUGUGUGCAGUGUCGCUUCAAUCGUGUCCGACUCUUUGCCACCCCCAUGGACUGUAACCUGCCAGGCUACUCUGUCCAUGGGAUUCUCCAGGCAAGAAUACUGGAGCAGGUUGCCAUGCCUUCCUCCAGGAGAUCUUCGCAACCCAGGAAUCGAACCCAUUAUCUCCAGCGUCUCCUGCAUUGCCCACCUCUUUUUCCUUACCCCCAAGGAACCACCC